GUGCUUGCUUUGGCAGCACAUACACUAAAAUUGGAAUGAUACAGAGAAGAUUAGCAAGGCCCCUGUGCAAGGAUGACAUUCAACUCAUGAAGCGUGCCAUAUUAAA
ensembl:snRNA U6 U6 spliceosomal RNA